AAAGUAUAAGAUAACAUAGUUGCAACAAAAAAGUAGUGAUAUCAGAACAUCAUUAGAUUGUUACAUAAUUUCUGUUGUAGUUUUGAAAAAAAUACUGCAGCACAAAAGUUUUAAAUAGAAAAAAAUGUGUAGCUGCUGAACGCACAGUUUAUUGAAAAUUAGCUUCUUCUUCGACGUCUCAAAGUAGACUGAUCUAUCAGCCGAAGGCAAUAGUCAAGUGCGCUUGCGCUUCCAUAAAUUUAAAUAUGAAUGUGAAAUAUGAUGUGUAUUUUUCUCAACAUGUUCUAUUAUGUAAUUUAUUUAUUUCGCGAUAAGUUUUUAAUGUAACGUAACAAUACUCCUAUAUAUUUCGUAUAUUUAUAGUCUUAUCAAUUUUUCAUCGCGUAAUAAGAGAAAAUUAUUAAAUGAUGGAGAUUACUAAAUUACAUUCAUCCUUUAUUCAUCCAUUAUCAAGCAAAUUGACUUAACCAUAGCUUAUAGACAUAUAAGAAAUUUUAUAAAAAUGAAGACAUUCAGUACAUGUCGGAAGAUCUGUCAGCCUUUUCAUUGACAAAGCUUCUCCAUUCGCGGCACGACAUGGUAUUUGCAGGCACACGCUGUUUAAAGCUUCAUCGAAUUAUGCUUAUGACUGUGGGAUUAUGGCCAUAUCAGAAACCAUUCAUCUUGCGAGUACAAUCAAUUUUCUUCUUCAGUAUAUACUGCUGUUAUACAUUUUUUCAGCUUACGCCGUUCUUAACGACAACUUGUAACAUGGAUUGUAUCCUAAAAAGAUGUUGUUAUAUUUGUAUUUCUAUCGUUUUUAUUAUGAAUUACUACUCACUCUACUUCAAUUCUGAAGCUGUAAAACGAAUGGUUGAACAUAUGCAGUUCGACUGGAAAAUGUUUGAAAAUACUGAUGCAAUGAAAAUAUUUGAAGAAUAUCUCUUUGAAUCUUAUAUUUUCACAUUAUCUCUGUGCAUUCUUCUUUUAAUAUUUCCAUCUUUUCUUAUACUUACUGAAUAUAGAUCUAUUAUUCUUGAUGUUAUCAUACCGAUGAAUGAAUCGCGACCACGUAAAGUUGAAAUAGAUUUUGAACUUUUCGUCGAUGAACAACAAUAUUUUUUUUUCUAUAUAGUGGAGGAGGUACUAGGGAUGGGAUUAGGAUGUUGGUCUAUGCUUGUGAUGGGAACGUUACUGACUACAGUAGCGAAACACUCAUGUGCAACAUAUAAAAUUGUUAGUGUUUUCAGUUGUUUAAUUCGAGACACGGUGACUAUCCAUACUCUACAAUUUCCUAUUGUUCAAGGAAUCCAAGUUAUGUAUCGGAAUAUUUGUCGUUCAGUUCACAUUCAUAGAAGAACAUUUGAGUUCUGUAAUGACAUGAUACUUUUGUUUCAAAUGUGGUUUUUCCCAUUACUUUUAAUUGGUGUAUUGGCUUUAAGUUGCCUCUUAUUUCGCCUAUACAAUGCUAUAAUUCAGUUCGAUGACGUGUAUGAUAUUUCACUAUCCUGUACACAUUUGUUUUUUUUUUUUAUAUACAUGCUUGUGGCAAAUUUUCUGGCACAGUCUUAUACCGAACACAGUGUAGGAUUAUUAGAAUCUACGUAUAAUACUCUUUGGUAUGUAGCGCCAUUACCUAUUCAAAAAUUGUUCUUGAUUAUGCAAAAAUCUAUAAAGAGUCAUAAAGUAGUAGUGGGUGGUCUUUUCGUUGCUUCAAUAGAAGGAUUUUCUACGCUUGUGACUUCAGCUGUAUCAUAUUUUACUGUUAUGCACGCCAUGCGUUUAUAAGUAUGAGAUGACGAAGAAAUAACGAUGAAGAUAAUGUUAUUCAGAGGAACGCUUAUUUGCAGUAUACUUGUUCUUACAAAGAUAAGUGAUGGAAGAAAGAAAGAAACUACCUAUAUCAUACGUAUCUGUUUUAUUUCAGGCAAUAUUAGUUGCUAAUUUAAUAUAUCAUAAAUUAUAAAAAGAAAAACAAACGUUUUAUUUAUCUGACCAUAUAUUGACAAUAAAUUUAUAAUAAUGGCCAAUAUAUGGUCAGAUAAAUAAAACUGUUGGUUUUAUUUUUGUAAUUUACGAAUAUCUAUUGGCGAAGAAAAAGAGUAUUGUACGAGUUUAAUAUAUCAUACUUUAUAUAAUAUUCAUUAUUAAAUUUAAUGUUGUAAUUCUGUAUUGUAUUUAAGUAUGUAAUUUGGGAUAAAAUAUUAAUGUACUGUU
rnacentral:misc_RNA from 1 species